UAGGGAAUCUUCCACAAUGGACGCAAGUCUGAUGGAGCAACGCCGCGUGAGUGAAGAAGGUUUUCGGAUCGUAAAGCUCUGUUGUUGGUGAAGAAGGAUAGAGGUAGUAACUGGCCUUUAUUUGACGGUAAUCAACCAGAAAGUCACGGCUAACUACGUGCCAGCAGCCGCGGUAAUACGUAGGUGGCAAGCGUUGUCCGGAUUUAUUUGGCGUAAAGCGAGCGCAGGCGGAAGAAUAAGUCUGAUGUGAAAGCCCUCGGCUUAACCGAGGAACUGCAUCGGAAACUGUUUUUCUUGAGUGCAGAAGAGGAGAGUGGAAUUCCAUGUGUAGCGGUGGAAUGCGUAGAUAUAUGGAAGAGCACCAGUGGCGAAGGCGACUCUCUGGUCUGCAACUGACGCUGAGGCUCGAAAGCAUGGGUAGCGAACAGG
rnacentral:rRNA from 1 species